rnacentral:rRNA from 1 species
UACGUAGGGUGCAAGCGUUGUCCGGAUUUAUUGGGCGUAAAGGGCUCGUAGGCGGUCUGUUGCGUCGGGAGUGAAAACUCAGGGCUUAACCCUGAGCCUGCUUCCGAUACGGGCAGACUAGAGGUAUGCAGGGGGAGAACGAAUUCCUGGUGUAGCGGUGAAAUGCGCAGAUAUCAGGAGGAACACCGGUGGCGAAGGCGGUUCUCUGGGCAUUACCUGACGCUGAGGAGCGAAAGCGUGGGGAGCAAACAGG